rnacentral:lncRNA from 1 species
CGGGCCCAGCGUACCCCCAAUACCCGGGCCCAGCGUACCCCCAAUACCCGGGCCCAGCGUACCCCCAAUACCCGGGCCCAGCGUACCCCCCAGUACCCGGGCCCAGUGUACCCCCAAUACCAAGGCCUAGAACCCCCCAAUACCCGGGCCCAGCGUACCCCAAUACCCGGGCCCAGCGUACCCCCCAAUACCCGGGCCCAGUGUACCCCCAAUACCCGGGCCCAGUGUACCCCCAAUACCAAGGCCUAGAACCCCCCAAUACCCGGGCCCAGUGUACCCCCCAGUACCCGGGCCCAGUGUACCCCCAAUACCAAGGCCUAGAACCCCCCAAUACCCGGGCCCAGUGUACCCCCAAUACCCGGGCCCAGCGUACCCCAAUACC